GUGCCCAGUAAAUCAUGAAUGUUCGUGAGAUAUGCGGUUUGGGAGUGUUAGUUUAUACGGAGAUUAGCUUUUCUACUGGAGCUAAAACACUGCGUGCAUGGAGAUCGAUUUUGGCUCAAAACGCCGCUUAAAAACCAAAACGUAGCAAUGUAAAUGUAGCC